GUGCCGCCGCUGCGGUAAUACGAAGGGGGCUAGCGUUGCUCGGAAUGACUGGGCGUAAAGGGCGCGUAGGCGGCGGCCAAAGUCAGGCGUGAAAUUCCUGGGCUCAACCUGGGGGCUGCGCUUGAUACUUGGUUGCUUGAGUGGGGAAGAGGGUCGUGGAAUUCCCAGUGUAGAGGUGAAAUUCGUAGAUAUUGGGAAGAACACCGGUGGCGAAGGCGGCGACCUGGUCCUUGACUGACGCUGAGGCGCGAAAGCGUGGGAGCAAACAGGAUUAGAUACCCUGGUAGUCCACGCUGUAAACGAUGUGCGCUGGAUGUUGGGUAACUUAGUUACUCAGUGUCGUAGCUAACGCGAUAAGCGCACCGCCUGGGAGUACGGCCGCAAGGUUGAAACUCAAAGGAUUGACGGGGCCCGC
rnacentral:rRNA from 1 species